rnacentral:rRNA from 1 species
CCAGACUCCUACGGGAGGCAGCAGUGAGGAAUAUUGGUCAAUGGUCGGGAGACUGAACCAGCCAAGCCGCGUGAGGGAUGAAGGUACAGAGUAUCGUAAACCUCUUUUGUCAGGGAACAAAGGCGGGGACGUGUCCCCGGAUGAGUGUACCUGAAGAAAAAGCAUCGGCUAACUCCGUGCCAGCAGCCGCGGUAAUACGGAGGAUGCGAGCGUUAUCCGGAUUUAUUGGGUUUAAAGGGUGCGCAGGCGGCACGGCAAGCCGGCGGUCAAAUCGCGGGGCUCAACCCCGCCCAGCCGUCGGAACUGCCGGGCUAGAGUGGGCGAGAAGUGCGCGGAAUGCGUGGUGUAGCGGUGAAAUGCAUAGAUAUCACGCAGAACUCCGAUUGCGAAGGCAGCGCACCGGCGCCCUACUGACGCUCAGGCACGAAAGCGUGGGUAUCGAACAGGAUUAGAUACCCCAGUA